rnacentral:rRNA from 1 species
AGAGUUUGAUCCUGGCUCAGAUUGAACGCUGGCGGCAUGCCUAACACAUGCAAGUCGAACGCCCUCUUCGGAGGGAGUGGCGCACGGGUGCGUAACGCGUGGGAACCUGCCCUUAGGUUCGGAAUAACUCAGAGAAAUUUGAGCUAAUACCGGAUAAUGUCUUCGGACCAAAGAUUUAUCGCCUUUGGAUGGGCCCGCGUUGGAUUAGCUAGUUGGUGGGGUAAAGGCCUACCAAGGCGACGAUCCAUAGCUGGUCUGAGAGGAUGAUCAGCCACACUGGGACUGAGACACGGCCCAGACUCCUACGGGAGGCAGCAGUGGGGAAUAUUGGACAAUGGGCGAAAGCCUGAUCCAGCAAUGCCGCGUGAGUGAUGAAGGCUUUCGGGUCGUAAAGCUCUGUCGAGGGGAAAGAAGUGUAUUGUGGCUAAUAUCCACGAUACUUGACGGUACCCCUAAAGGAAGCACCGGCUAACUCCGUGCCAGCAGCCGCGGUAAUACGGGGGGUGCAAGCGUUGUUCGGAAUUAUUGGGCGUAAAGCGCGUGUAGGCGGUUUGUUAAGUCUGAUGUGAAAGCCCUGGGCUCAACCCAGGAAGUGCAUUGGAAACUGGCAGACUUGAAUACGGGAGAGGGUAGUGGAAUUCCUAGUGUAGGAGUGAAAUCCGUAGAUAUUAGGAGGAACACCGGUGGCGAAGGCGGCUACCUGGACCGAUAUUGACGCUGAGACGCGAAAGCGUGGGUAGCAAACAGGAUUAGAUACCCUGGUAGUCC